rnacentral:lncRNA from 1 species
GAGUGGGGAAUUGCCGAGCUAGUGAACCACCCCGAAAUCCAGAAGAAGUUGAGGAAUGAACUCGACACAGUCCUCGGCCGCGGAGUUCAGAUCACAGAGCCCGACGUUCCUAAACUUCCCUACCUGCAAGCCGUGGUCAAGGAGACUCUCCGACUUCGCAUGGCAAUCCCGCUCCUUGUCCCCCACAUGAACCUCCAGGAUGCCAAGCUCGGGGGGUUUGAUAUUCCGGCGGAGAGCAAGAUAUUGGUGAAUGCUUGGUGGUUGGCAAACAACCCUGCCCUGUGGAAGAAGCCAGAAGAGUUUAGGCCCGAGAGGUUUUUGGAGGAGGAGUCGAAGGUGGA